AUAAAUAGCUACCAUGUUAACCACCUUCUUCCACACCCAUUACAAAACAAUUUUGUAUUGUCCCUUUUAUUUUCUGUGUAUAUUUCAAUUUUCUGCCCAGUCAUAUUUUUAUUCGAGUUUUUGAAGCAAAAAUGACUAUCCUCAUUGAGCAGCCUGUGAUUGGGUCACCAGUAGAGAACAAGAACGUUUGUUCUGAUCAAACAAAUGAGUUGGUGUUAGAUGCUGGGUUGGUGGUGCCUAAUGAUGGAAAUGUUGUAUCUGAACUUGUCUCAAACAAUGAAUUCGUUGCCCCUGAAAUCAACUCAUUUGGUCGCUCAUUCAGAGAUUAUGAUGCUGAAAACGAGAGGCAAAAAACUGUGGAGGAGUUCUACCGCAUGAACCACAUUAACCAAACCUAUGACUUUGUGAAGAAGAUGAGAGAGGAGUAUGGAAAGUUGAACAGGGUUGAAAUGAGUAUAUGGGAAUGUUGUGAACUUCUUAAUGAGGUUGUGGAUGACAGUGAUCCUGAUUUGGACGAACCCCAAAUUGAGCACUUGUUACAGACUGCUGAAGCCAUUAGAAAAGACUACCCAGAUGAAGAUUGGCUCCACUUGACCGCUCUUAUUCAUGAUUUGGGAAAGGUUCUGCUUCUUCCAGUGUUUGGGGAACUUCCUCAGUGGGCCGUUGUUGGUGACACUCAUCCUCUGGGGUGUGCUUUUGAUGAAUCUAUAGUCCACCACAAGUAUUUCAAGGAAAACCCAGAUUCGUAUAAUCCUGAAUUCAAUUCAAAGAAUGGAAUUUACUCUGAAGGGUGUGGAUUAGAAAAUAUAAUGAUAUCUUGGGGACACGAUGACUAUAUGUAUUUGGUGGCCAAGGAAAAUGGAUCUACUUUGCCUCAAGCUGGUUUGUUCAUUGUCAGAUAUCACUCAUUCUAUCCUUUACACAAGUGUGGAGCCUAUAAACAAUUCAUGAACAAGGAGGAUGAAGAGAACUUGAAGUGGCUCCAUAUUUUCAACAAGUAUGACCUUUACAGCAAAAGCAAAGUUAGAGUAGAUGUAGAGAAAGUGAAGCCAUAUUAUUUAUCCCUUAUUGAAAAGUAUUUUCCAGCUAAACUCAGAUGGUAAACCUUUGGUGAUUUCGGCAUAUUGGAUCAAGAUUGAGACUACUUUGGAUCAAGGCUUCGUUUUGUUUAUUAGUUUACAGAUAAACAAAUAAUAUUGUGGAGUGGCGGUUAUCUUCGAGUUACAUAUUAUAGAGUUAUGGGAGAUGUGGCUCCUCUGUUUGCAGAAGCUAUAGGCCUGAAGGAAGUUUUAAGUUGGCUGAAGGCACCAGGGAACAGGUUGGGAGACUCAUGUAAUCUUGUGGAUGCCAAAAUCAUUAUUGAAUUGGACUGUUUGCAG